UGGCUCAGUAUUGAACGCUGGCGGUAGGCCUAACACAUGCAAGUCGAACGCGAAAGUCCUUCGGGAUGAGUAGAGUGGCGGACGGGUGAGUAACGCGUAGGAAUCUAUCCUGUAGUGGGGGAUAACGUUUCGAAAGGAACGCUAAUACCGCAUACGCCCCACGGGGGAAAGCGGGGGAUCUUCGGACCUCGUGCUAUAGGAGGAGCCUGCGUCGGAUUAGCUAGUUGGUGAGGUAAAGGCUCACCAAGGCGACGAUCCGUAGCUGGUCUGAGAGGAUGAUCAGCCACACCGGAACUGAGACACGGUCCGGACUCCUACGGGAGGCAGCAGUGGGGAAUAUUGCGCAAUGGGCGAAAGCCUGACGCAGCCAUACCGCGUGUGUGAAGAAGGCCUUCGGGUUGUAAAGCACUUUCAGUGGGGAGGAAAAGCGGGUGGCUAAUAUCCAUCGGCCGUGACGCUACCCACAGAAGAAGCACCGGCUAAUUCCGUG
rnacentral:rRNA from 1 species